rnacentral:rRNA from 1 species
CGGACGUGAGCAAUCUGCCUUUAAGAGGGGGAUAACAGUCGGAAACGGCUGCUAAUACCGCAUAAAGCAUCGAAACCGCAUGAUUUUGAUGCCAAAGGAGCAAUCCGCUUUUAGAUGAGCUCGCGUCUGAUUAGCUGGUUGGCGGGGUAACGGCCCACCAAGGCGACGAUCAGUAGCCGGACUGAGAGGUUGAACGGCCACAUUGGGACUGAGACACGGCCCAG